AUGUCCACCACGCUCGACCAAAGGGCACCGCCCCAUCCCCACGCGUCGCCCUGGAGGCUCGCGGAAGCCUCCAGAGCCGCCACGUUGAAACCCCUUGCUCGACCUACUCUACUCUCCCACCGCUUCGCUCCACCGAUCCAAACCCACUUCGCAAAACCUGUGCACGAAGGAGCCCCCAAACCCAACCAACUAGAACGAGUGAUAUCCAUGGAGAAGAAGGAUCUGCUCGGCGUCCGGACGAAGCCGGCGGCAGGGAAGCGGCGGCGCAAGGUGGCAGCUGGCCCGGGACUCGCCAAGGCGAUCGCGGAGUACCUCGCGUCCGACUCCUAUAUGUACGCGCCGCUGGUCUCAGAACCACAGGAGCAGGCGCCGCCGCAGCCCGCGGCAGCGCCUGCGACAAGUACACCUGGUUAG
rnacentral:rRNA from 1 species